rnacentral:rRNA from 1 species
UACGUAGGGGGCAAGCGUUGUCCGGAUUUAUUGGGCGUAAAGAGCGUGUAGGCGGCCAGACAGGUCAGCUGUGAAAACUCGAGGCUCAACCUCGAGACGUCGGUUGAAACCGUCUGGCUAGAGUCCGGAAGAGGAGAGUGGAAUUCCCGGUGUAGCGGUGAAAUGCGCAGAUAUCUGGAGGAAUACCGGUGGCGAAGGCGGCAUCCUGGACCGACAUUGACGCUGAACGGCGAAAGCUAGGGGAGCAAACGGG